rnacentral:rRNA from 1 species
AGAGUUUGAUCAUGGCUCAGAUUGAACGCUGGCGGCAGGCUUAACACAUGCAAGUCGAGCGGGGGAAGGUAGCUUGCUACUGGACCUAGCGGCGGACGGGUGAGUAAUGCUUAGGAAUCUGCCUAUUAGUGGGGGACAACAUCUCGAAAGGGAUGCUAAUACCGCAUACGUCCUACGGGAGAAAGCAGGGGAUCUUCGGACCUUGCGCUAAUAGAUGAGCCUAAGUCGGAUUAGCUAGUUGGUGGGGUAAAGGCCUACCAAGGCGACGAUCUGUAGCGGGUCUGAGAGGAUGAUCCGCCACACUGGGACUGAGACACGGCCCAGACUCCUACGGGAGGCAGCAGUGGGGAAUAUUGGACAAUGGGGGGAACCCUGAUCCAGCCAUGCCGCGUGUGUGAAGAAGGCCUUAUGGUUGUAAAGCACUUUAAGCGAGGAGGAGGCUACUUUAGUUAAUACCUAGAGAUAGUGGACGUUACU